rnacentral:rRNA from 1 species
AUUGAACGCUGGCGGCAGGCCUAACACAUGCAAGUCGAGCGAGCGGCGGACGGGUGUGUAAUGUCUGGGAAACUGCCUGAGGGAGGGGGAUAACUACUGGAAACGGUAGCUAAUACCGCAUAACAUCAGAUGUGCCCAGAUGGGAUUAGCUAGUUGGUGGGGUAACGGCUCACCUAGGCGAGGAUCCCUAGCUGGUCUGAGAGGAUGACCAGCAACCUGGGAACUGAGACACGGUCCAGACUCCUACGGGAGGCAGCAGUGGGGAAUAUUGCACAAUGGGCGCAAGCCUGAUGCAGCCAUGCCGCGUGUAUGAAGAAGGCCUUCGGGUUGUAAAGUACUUUCAGCGGGGAGGCGUUACCCGCAGAAGAAGCACCGGCUAACUCCGUGCCAGCAGCCGCGGUAAUUC